UACGUAGGGUGCGAGCGUUUGUCCGGAAUUAUUGGGGCGUAAAGGGCUCGUAGGCGGUUUGUCGCGUUCGGGAGUGAAAACCUUGGGCUUAACUCAGGGCUUGCUUUCGAAUACGGGCAGUACUAGAGGUAUGCAGGGGAGAACGGAAUUCCUGGUGUAGCGGUGAAAUGCGCAGAUAUCAGGAGGAACACCGGUGGCGAAGGCGGUUCUCUGGGCAUGAUCUGACGCUGAGGAGCGAAAGUGUGGGGAGCGAACAGG
rnacentral:rRNA from 1 species